rnacentral:pre_miRNA from 1 species
UUAUUACUCCCUCCGUCUAGAAUUACUUGUCAUCAAAAUGGAUGUGUCUAGAACUAAAAUACAUCUAGAUACAUCCAUUUCAAUGACAAGUAUUUUCGGAUGGAGGGAGUACAAU